CAAUUAAUUUUUCUUAUUAGUACUUAUUUGGAGUUGCAUGAAUUUUUCUGAGCCAAUAAAUUGGAGGAAAUUUGUCUUAUAAAAUGGAGAGAUGUAGAACAUUGUGGUCAGUUAUAGGAUAGUACUUCUCUCAUGUUGAUUCCCAGAACUUAGAAAAUAGAUCCUAAAUUAAUAGUGUGGCGUACACGAUCUCUGGGCUAUAAUAAUUUAGGAAAAUGUUGGAAAAUGAUAAAGGCGAAGGGGAGGAUUGAAGCUAAGUAUACCCCUUAAAUAGUAAACAUUUGACACUGAGAGGAGUGCUCUGGAGAUUAACAAGUAGUACUCUGUCAGGGAUAAUUUUCUGGGCAGCUAAGGUUGUUUGUGUGGUAAGGGAAGGCGGCGACAUAUCAUAACUGUAAUUGUUUGAUAAAAUUCCCAAAGUUAGUUUCGGAUUGUAAGGGUGAAAGUAAGUGCAACAGUUGGGUGUUGGAGGGGGAGGGGAGCAGAGCUUGUCAGCCCUGGCGCCACGACAGGGUUAACGGCGGUAGCGCCCGAUGCACUCUGGGAGUUGUAGGCCGCGGGCGCAAGCAUUGUGGGAAUUGUCGUAAAAGUCUGCUUUCCUGCUGUGAUGGCCGCCCCUGAAUCUGGGAGUUGGGGGUUUCUGGCUUUCUGGAGGGUUUAGGGGGCUGGCUGUCCUGUCAGAAGGCCACCAACAGCCCCCUCAGGUUGCCAAGGGCCUGUUAGUUGUGUUCCUGGGAGGUGGACGAGCGGCCUGACUGGUUAACGUUGGGGUUUGCAGUCAUUAACUCGGCCAAGGGGCCUUUAGAGACUGCAGGCUUGGUGAGGAGGGUCCCAGCCGGCUGGACGCUGGUUGUCUGACUUUCUACCUUCGAAAUGUCUGGAUGACCAGGGCCUAUGUUUUGGAGUGUGCUUUAUGUUGUGGUUUGUGUCCUGCACCCUCCACUGUUUACAGUAUUCAGCCCGGUCCAUGUAGCAGUUGGUACCCAUGACCCUGUUUGGGGUUAGUUGGGGAUCUUUUUCUUAGGCCUAGCGGGACUGAUGCAAGAUCUGGAAGUUUGGAAGGUGUGUAGAGCAAUGUACUGGUGUUGUCUGUCUGGGCUGUAAGAAAUUGCAUGAGUUAUGAGCGUGGCCCUGAGUGUGUGGUUGGCUUUCUCUUGCUCUUGGUGAACUUUACCCCUUAUUUGUAAAUGCUGAGAGACAGUGUCAGGCAGUUCCUACUUGUGAAAUGCUUUUUUGUUAACUUGGAUGCAUUUUUAACUCUUUGGGAUCUUCCAGAGGACUCUUUUGCAACUGUUUGUAGAAAGGUAUGUGUGGAAAACUGAAUUUAAAGCAAAUGCCAGUGUCACAGUACCUUUUAGUUCUAGGGAGCAAGCCCCCUGGGCUUCCCUGGUGCUGUGAAGUUAUUUGGGUUCAUGUAUGAAAAUCAGGUUUGCUUUGAGUUGUGUUACCUAACUUUGGGCUCAUAGUGUUUCUCUGCACGUCAGGACACUGAUCUUUGGUAUUGGGUACUCUUUCAACAGUUGAGGCAAAAUGGAGCACUAACAUGUAACUGCAUGUAUCAGAAUAUCAAGAUAACACUAGGUGGCAAAGCAGUACCUGUUUUACCUGUUCACAGAAACAUGGACCUCAUUGUCUCUGCCACCCUGUACUGCCCCAUAAAUUCUGCCUUAUUUCCAUGGUCUGGUUGUUGUCUAUGUAACAGAGGCUAUGUUGUCUAUGUUGAGGCCCAACUGGUCAUGAAAGCCAUUUCUCAGACAGCAUUAUUAUGUAUUUAAAAGCAUUUUUCCCCACAAGUAGAACUGGCAUCUAGAAAGUUUUUCAUUCAAGUUUGGUAAAGUAGGGAAUUUGAAAUAAGGUACAACAGUGGUUUUGAAAAUCAGCUAUUUUUUAGUUUUAGGGGUGGCUAUGUGAUAGAAAUGAUUUGUAGAGAGAGUAAAAAAAAUAAUAUUCUGUUUUUCUUGAUAUUUUAGAGCAUAUAAAAACUGGGCCACUUUUAUGUAUCAUUAAAAAGCCCUUUGGCAUUUUGUGUUGAAUGGGGUUUUCAUAACUUCUCUCUUGUCUGGAUUUGUGUAAUGGUAGAGAAAGGAGCAAAGCUAGCUGGGUUUGUUUAUGUGUGAUUUGUUGAAAAUGAUUUCAGGUAUAGGCUGAUAGACAGAUACUGUUCUUGCUAGUCAGAUCUCAGCCAAGUAUUUCCUUCCCUCUGACCCUGCCCUCAUGUGUCUCAGAAUAUUAACUAAUCUCCAUUUGAAAAAAGAUUGGGAAAUUUUCCCCUUUAUAAGUGCUCCAUCUUGUCCAAAUUUGUUAUUAUUGUUGUGAUAAAAUACUGUUUUUUCUGGUGAAUUGGUUUUGUAUCUUAGAAAGACUGGAUGGCUACAAUUUGUAGAUUUGUAGGAUCAUUCAAAACUGACCACAGGUACACUGUUAAUUGGCUUUGAAAGAAGAUGCCUAAGUUUUUAAUUGCCAAGUUACCUCUGACUUGAGUUAAGCAGAACUAACCAACCAUUCAUUAGAAAGUGCUUUGAGAGUGGAAGCGUACUUAACUUUUGUUCUAGGUAUUGUUGUGACCUGGCCUAACAACUUUUGAUUCCUGCCUCUUGGAAGCCAACUAUUAUGUUAGAAUUGGCCUGAAAUCACUGUGUUGUGAGAAACCCAAAGAAGCUAGAUGAGACAUAAAGUGGAGAGGCCAAGGAGCACCAAAGAAGCAGAACUGUAAGUGAAGAAGCCAUUUUAAAAAUGGAUCCUCCAGCCCCAGCUGCCCUAGUUGUUGCUGUGUAAAUCAGGUCUACCAAGCUGUCACCACAGGAGCCUGCAAGAGUCAUAGCAUUCCUGGACUUGGGGCACCCCCAGUGCUGAUACAGCUGCAGUGACCAAGACUUAGAUCACAACACUCAAUUCCCUUUGAAUAUCUGGAAAGCCUUCCCUAGAAGGACGCGUUUAAACAAGUCCAGACUGCGAAGAUUAAAAUAAAUACCUGCCUGUUAAAUGCCCAGACACAGGUGAACAUCCACAAUCAUUAAGAACACCCAGGAAAACAUGACCUCACCAAACAAACUAAAUAAGUUACCAGUGACCAAUUCUGGAGUGAUGGACAUAUGUGACUUUUCAGACAAUGAGUUCAAAAUAGCUGUCCUGAAGAAGCUUAGUGAAUUUCAAGGUAAAUUAUAUAGUUUUAAAAUUGUGACUGAUUGUAUUUUUCAACUAGAAGUUAUUGGUCCUUGCAACUAACUAAAGUGUUUCUUCUACAAUAAUAAUCCACUUGUUCAUUUAGUGAAUACAAAUUAAGUAUCCUUUAUCCAAAAUGCCUGGCACCAUAAGUGUUUCAGAUUUCUGAUUUUGGGGGGAUAUGGAAUAUUUGCACAUACAUAAUGAGAUAUAUUGGGGAUGAAACCCAAGUCUAAACAGAAAAUUUAUUUGUGUUUCCUAUAUACCUUAUAUAAAAGCCCGAAGGUAAUUUUAUACAAUAUUUUAAAUGAUUUUGUGCAUGAAAAAAAGUUUGUGUUAAGUACUUUUGUGUGGAAUUUUCCACUAUGGCAUCAUUCAGGUUGGUGCUCAAAAAGUUUCAGAUUUCAGGCCAUGUGAUCUCAAAUUUUUGGAUCAGGGAUGCCCAACUUGUACUUAUUGAAUGUAUAUGAGGGUUACAAUGGUGAAUAAGACAAAUAGGACUUUAUGGAUCUUAAAGUGUGCCUGGGACCAGUAUGUGCAAACACCCUAAUGUAGGAUGGACCUUAGUGCUUUUGAGAACUGUAGAGAAGCCCUUAUGGGUUGACCAUACUGAGCAAAGGAGGAGGGCAGGGGCCAGAGCAUGGUACACUCCCUUAAGGGAAACACACACACACAUGCAUACACAGACACACACAUAUACACACAGUAUUAGUUUUAUGUUGUUGCUGUUACAAAUUACCACAAAAUUAGUGGUUUGAAAUAACAUUUAUUAUCUUAGAGUUCUACAGGUUAGAAUUCUAACAUGGUCUCAAUGGGCUACAAUUACUGCAUUUCUUUCUGGAGAUUCUAAGGGAAAGUUCAUCUCCUUGCUUUUUCCACUUCUAGAGGCCACCCACAUUCCUUGGCUCUUGGACUCCUUCCUCCAUCUUCAAAGACAACAGCCCUUUUGUUACUACAGAGGUUCUGUUAAUUGUCUGUGGCGAAUGUAUCUUGCUCUUGCUCUGUAAACCUAUCUUGCCCUUCCUCAAUAAACUUCAUUUCACACUUGC